UAGCUGAAUUCAGAGGACUCGGACCCGUAAAUUCACCGUGAAGGUCUGAAGAACCAUGGAAAUAUAUUUUGCAGGCAUCGGCAGGCCACGGCACUCGCUCUGGCGCACUGCGGGGCAGAGGUCAUGGCUGUCACAAGCACGCAGGCUGACCUGGACAGCAUUCUGCUGCAGUGUCCAUCAAUCAGGCCAGUGUGUGUGGACCUAGGGAACUUGGGGGCCACAGAGGAGGCGCUAUGGGAGGCUGUUGGUAACGCUGAUCUCCUGGUGAAUAAAGCAGCCUGCGUCAUGCUGGAGCCCUUCCUAGAGGUCGCCCCCAACCAGUUUGACACGUAAAGAAGCUCUCUUCGUUGUCCUUUGAUUCAUGUAUUGAUUCAUAUUCAUUAAAGUGAAACACAAGUCACUCAAGGCAAGAUAUUAGACCUGUGUUUUAGACCUAGAGUACAUGUAUUAGACCUGUGUUUUAGACCCAGAGUACAUGUAUUAGACCUGUGUUUUAGACCCAGAGUACAUGUUUUAGACCCAGAGUACAUGUAUUAGACCUGUGUUUUAGACCCAGAGUACAUGUAUUAGACCUGUGUUUUAGACCCAGAGUACAUGUUUUAGACCCAGAGUACAUGUAUUAGACCUGUGUUUUAGACCUAGAGUACACGUAUUAGACCUGUGCUUUAGACCCAGAGUACAUGUUUUAGACCCAGAGUACAUGUAUUAGACCUGUGUUUUAGACCUAGAGUACAUGUAUUAGACCUGUGCUUUAGACCCAGAGUACAUGCAUUAGACCUAGAGUACAUGUAUUAGA